GGGGGCGCCCCGGUUUCGACGGGAGCGUUUGACUUCGGCAAGGAGCAGGCCGAGCGUGUCUACCGGCUCGUUAAUUCGGUGGAAAAAUAGAAGUGCCAACGAUAACUUGGCUUUGGCUGCCUAAAAGGUAACCACGCUCUGACCUCAGCUCGCCCGUGGCGGGGGUUAAGAGCGUCAUCAAUGCGGGCUGGCUUCGAUCUCUCGGUCCGGGGGAGGAAGGCGAGAUCCAAUCGGACUAGCGCCGCGCGCUUUUGUUCCGCCUCUAUGCGCAGCGCGAAACUUCAGGCGGAACUAAGCCUGUAGGGCCUUCCGGGGCACGCUUUCGGACGCGGGUUCAACUCCCGCCGCCUCCACCA
rnacentral:tmRNA from 1 species